GGAGGUAUGGUGGAAUUGGCAGACACGCUAGUUUUCCAAACUAGUAGAUAUUAUCUGUACGAGUUCGAAUCUCGUUACCUCCA
rnacentral:tRNA from 1 species